AAUCACUGAGUUUCAAUUUCUUGAUAACGAACGUCAAUUCUCGGGUAAAGGAAUCUAAUGCUAAAUGAAUCUUACCCAAAGGAAUAUGGAAUUGAAAUGCGUCUGAAUCACUUGAUUUUGAUUUCUUGAUAACGAACGUCAAUUCUCGGGUAAAGGAAUCUAAUCUAAAGGAGUUUUUGGGUAAAGGAAUCUAAUGCUAAAUGAAUCUUCAGCCAAAGGAAUAUGGAAUUGAAAUGCGUCUGAAUCACUUGAGUUUCAAUUUCUUGAUAACGAACGUCAAUUCUCGGGUAAAGGAAUCGAAUGGUAAAUGAAUCUUCAGCCAAAGGAAUCUAAUGCUAAAUGAAUCUUACCCAAAGGAAUAUGGAAUUGAAAUGCGUCUGAAUCACUGCGUUUCGAUUUCUUGAUAACGAACGUCAAUUCUCGGGUAAAGGAAUUAAAUGGUAAAGGAACGUUAAGGAGUGUCUGCCGCCGCCCCGCGAGCACUAUAGGCCUACGUCGGGGCUCCUCGGGUAGGCCUACGCCAUUCUUCUUAUCACGCUCAGCUUUACUUACUAAUUUUAUCCCCACUGAUGACGAUUUCGACGAUAGGUAUAAAAAAAAGUAUAAAAAAUGCACAAAAAAAUGAUAUCUUAGGACAUUGUUGUUGGUCUUGUCCGGCGCCAGUUACGGUGACGCGGACGACGGUGUGACGGUGACGGCGCUGCUACUGAGCUGUCACUGUUCUUGUUAUUAUUAUUAUUAUUAUUAUUAUGAGUUUCUUUCAGUAUUUUGUACAGAGUUUUUUGUCUCUCGGAAGAAGUAUAAAGCCAAGUGCCAGCCUGAAUAUUUCCUCUCUCUUAUUAUUAUUAUUAUUCAGUUGUGUAUUAAUACUACUUUGAUUUUUACGACAUGAGGAUAUAUUGACAGUAGAGGUGUUAUUAUUCUAGUGUGUGUGUGUGUGUGUGUGUGUGUGUGUGUGUGUGUGUGUGUGUCUGGAUAUUACUAUGAUGACCUAGUGUGUAGCAAGACUCUGAGCCAUAUCAAUAUUAUAGCUUUCAGAUGAAGGAUCUAAUACAAUGAAUAAUCAAGCCAGUCUGCCAAAAACUUAGGCUAAGCGAGGCACUCAAUCCUCCUCCCCCUCCUCACCCUCAUCCUGGCCCCCUCCUCUCCAUCCCAGACUGGGCUGCUCCUCUUUCCCCCUCCUCCUCUUCCCCCCCCCCAUCCCCCCCCCGGGGCAGCAGGCAGCGCGCCACACAGCGGCGCCAGCAAGCCUCGGCUCACACUCUUCCAGCAGCCACUGUUUGUUCCGGUGAGCCGCGGCACCUCGCUGGCUGCCCCGCUGCCCCGCCGGCUGCGUGCCGCCCCGGGGGGCGCGCCGCGUGUGUGUGCUGCACCGUGGCGGUGAGUGUGAGAGGCGUGUGAGUGCGUGCGUGUGUGUGUAGGCCGGGUCGUGAUGGUAGUAUUAGUGCGUCGCGGCCACCAGCGGCGGCCGGCGGGCACGGCCACCACGGCGGGUGUGUGCGUGUGUGCGUGUGCGUGUGUGUACGUGUGUGUGUGGUGCGGUGCCCGCCGCCGCCGCCGCCGCUGUGUCUGUAGCUUGGCCGCCUCGGCUAGUGUUGUGUAGUGCUUCGCGCCGCGGCGCCGCCCUGACGCUGCCGCCGCGGCCCCCCUGUGCUUGUUAGCUUGGCCUGAGGCCCGGCGCGCCGCGGGGGACAGCCCCGCCCCGCCCCGCCCCACCCCGCCGCCCAGUGUGGGGCAUCGCGGGGCCGCGGGGCUGGCCGGGGCCGCCCCCCGGCGCGGCAGAAUAAUUCUUCCAAGGUUAUUAGUCAGUUAAGACACACUCGCCUUCUCUCCCUGUGUUACUAUGUACAAGAACCAAACUUUUCCUUUGCGCCGCCGCUCAUCGGGCCGCCGCCGUACAAACGUUGGAUGCCACCACUGCUCCGCCCGCCCCGCCCCGCCCCGCCCCGCCGCGGGGACACACUCAGUCAGGAUGCAUUUGUGUGUUACGCAACGUAACAGCGACAGUGAGACAACAAGUCCGCGCGGCGCCGCAGCCAUUGUGAUGAGGCCGUCAUGACGAGACGUGUGAUGAUGAUGAUGGUGAUCGUGUUGUCGGGCCGCCGCCGCCGCCGCCGCCGUGCGUGACGUGACCCUCGGCCUGGCCUGGCCUGGCCCGGCGUGUCAGGGCGGGGUCAGCUUCGGCGUUUUCUCAGGAACCUUUGCACAGGGGACGCGGGGGGAGGCGCGGCCCGCGGCGGCCUGCGCGGCGCUACUUACCCGCUCUUCACAGCUUUAGUUUACGAUUCCAUUAGUGUACUUUUAAUGAUCUGCCGUUGUGUGUUGUUGUUGUUGUUCCGAGCCGCGCCGCCCCCCCACGCCGCCCCCGCCGCCGCCGCCGCCGCCGCCCUGCCGCCAGUCACUCCCAGCUAUGCACGGCUGCCGCAGGCGGCGGCGGCGGCGGCGGCGGCGUCCGUGUCGGCUCAGCCAGUCUCCUGUUCUCAUUCUCACGUUCGUGCAAUAUGUUAUCAAAAUACAAAGAUCAUAAAAAUAAUCUGAUGCAUAAAAUUGAUGCACACCCGUGUACGUGUACGCGUAUGUACGUAUGUAAAGACUCAAGGACGCUCCGUGGACAAUCGUGCGGCGGCGGCGGCGGCGCCGCGCACGCUCCGCCGUCGCCGCCGCCGCCGUGAUGUAGUGGAAGAAGCAAGCAGCAAGCAAGCAAUGCCUUAUUGUUCAUUCCUCUUAGCGGGGCACCGCGACCCCCACCACACUACCGUCCUGCACCCCACCCCGCGCGCGUGUGUGUGUGUGUGUGUGUGUGUGUGUGGACCCCAGGCCCUGCCCCAAAGCCAGCCCCUGGCACUGCAGGGCGGGGCUACGUGUGUGUGUGUGCGUGUGUGUGUGUGCACAAGCCGUGUUCGGUGCUAGGCGUGACCCGGACCGUUGUUGGAGGACCACCUGCCCCGCCCCGCCCCGCCCCGCCCCGCCCCGCUGGGUGUAUACAAUAAUUUAGUUUCGCCUGUGAUGUUUUACUCUGUUCCCUGGCCCCGGGCGGCGGCGCCCGCCCCGCCGGCCGCCGCCGCCGCCGCCAUACUCAACUUGGUGUGGACGAGGAGUAAUAUAGAUGAUACUAUACAUAUAAUAACUAUAGAAGAUAUACAUAUAUAAUUAUUAUUAUUAUAGAUAAAUAUAUACAUAAUUAUAGACGCUGUAGGUUACGGUAAUGUGGCGGCCGGGGCGGGGCGGGGCAGGCAGGGGAGGGGGGAAGGCGCCCCCUCACAUGUACCAUAGGAUCUCAGCCCCCACCCACACACCCCUCUCACCCCACCACCCCCACACAGGGCCUCCUCCCCCUCCCCCCCCCACCACACCCCCUCACACCCGUGGCCACACAUCCUCCUCGCCGGGAGCCUCACACACACACACACACACACACACACACACACACACACACACACACACACACACACACUCUUGGCAUGUAGGGACAAGCCAAGAAGCAUUUAGUCGUAACCUCAAAAGAAAACCCCCGCGACGACAAACCCGCUGUGUGACCUUCCAGAAGAAAAAAAAACGCGAAAAACUCGUAUAAAAAAAAACGGAGAUGGAUUCUGAGACACACACAAACGAACACACAAACACACACACACACAGCAACGAGGUGAGGCUUUGGCGAAGAUGACGACCGAUCUAUAUUAAACAAACAAACAAAAAAAAAAUAUAUAUACAAAAAAAGCGAGAAAAAAAAAACGAAAACAACAACAGCGAGCCAGUGAUUGAGCGACGCGUUUCUGUGCCGAGGUGAGCCGCGCCGAGCCCAGCCGAGCCGAGGUGAGCCGAGGCCGAGCUAAGCGAGGCGGGUGUCGAUGUUUCAAGGUUGUGAGCCUAAAUGUGUGAUAACCUUCCUCUGGUCAAAAUAAAUGAACAUAUAUUGGGGGUAGGCCUAAUGCCCCGCCCCCGCCCCCUGCCCCUCAUGCCCUAUACCCCCCCCCCUACCCCCCCAGUGCAACGUUACAUGUGCCUUGUGUGUGUGUGUGUGUGUGCGUGCGUGUGUGUGUAAGUACGUAAUGACUUCAACACCACCACCACCACCACCGCCACCACCACACACACGCCCCACCACCACCACCACCACCACCACCCCACCCCUCGCCCCAUCCCCCCAACAACCCCCCCCCCCCGGUGGUACCUCUCUAAGCGGGGCCGCACGGGGCAAUAUCUAGGGGCCAUGGGGCUUUUUUUUACCCCACUGUAUUAUUUUAAGACAAUUAAAAAAAAGUAAAAAAAAAAUAUUACGCUUGAGAAAGAGCAACAGCGGCCAUGGUGAGAGAGAGAGAGAGAGAGAGAGAGAGAGAGAGAGAGAGAGAGAGAGAGACCCCAGUGUGUGGGGUGCAGGGAUAAGGAGAGAGACACAGCCAGCCUCAGCGCGAGAGAGAGAGAGAGAGAGAGAGAGAGGAAUCCCAGUAACUCGACAUAGUGCUUUGUCCCCAAGUGUAUGUGUGUGUGUGUGUGUGUGUGUGUGUGUGUGUGUGUGUGUGUGUGUGUGUGUGUGUGUGUGUAUGCUUCCACUCGCUGGGUCAAGUCAGUCAGGUCAGGUCAGGUCAAUCUGCCCUGACCUCGGUGUGGCACAGACGUACUUAACCAAUGACAGCCGCCACAGCCGCCGCCGCCGCCGCUGUUGCUCUUUGUCGCGUGGGGGGCGGCUCGACACACUGAGUUCCGCCCGAGCCAAGCCGCCACAGAGCAUCGAGCCACAGAGCCAGAGCCAGAGAAAUAGGAGCAUUUGAUAUCUGUAGAGUCUUACAUAUGGCUCUGUGUGUUAGUGAAGACUCCUACGACCACUAUAGAGUCUUGUGUGUCUCUGUUAAUAAGACUCAAGACCUUUGUAGAGUCUAGUGUCUGUAUGUUAAUAAGACUCGUAUGACAUCUGUAGAGUCCAACUUAUGGCUCUAUGUGAUAAUAAGACUCGUAUGACAUCUGUAGUCUCAUGUACGGCUCUGUUAGUGAGGACUUUUACGACCUCUAUAGAGUCUCAUGUGUCUGUGUUAAUAAGACUCGAAUGACAUCUGUAGAGUCUUACGUAUGGCUCUGUGUUGAUAAGACUCUAUGACAUCUGUAGAGUCUUACGUAUGGCUCUGUGUUGAUAAGACUCGUAUGACAUCUGUAGAGUCUCAUGAAUGGCUCUGUUAGUGGACUCUUCCGACCCCGCUGAGUCUGCCGCCGCCGCCCCUGUGCCUGGCCGCCCCCCCGCCGCCCCUUCCUCUUCUUCCCGUGCGCUAAGUCCUCCUGUUGUAAAAGGAUCCUGAUUCCAAAGAGCGCUGGAGUUGUUGUUGUAUGGCUUUGGGUGAUAAAACUUGUAUUAUGAUUUCCGUACCUGACCUUGUACAAGUCAAGAUAUUCUUUUUAAUACUGCUAUAAUAAAUAGAUUAAUAAAUAAAAAGCGUUGACUCCGACGAUUCCAUAUUGAAGUGGUAAUAAUAAUAAUAAUAAUAAUAAUAAUAAUAAUGGUAAUUUUAAUGGUAACAGUACUACUAUUACUACUACUACUACUAUGAUGAUGACGCAAUCGCUGACCUCGACACCAACAGCAGCGAUGACCUCUGACCUGCCGGGGUACGGGGUCAGGCUACCCGGCCCUCCCCCUUGGCAGGCUGGGUCAGUAUGGGUGCUGGGCGGGGCACUGGGAGGGCACGGGUCACCACCUUGCCCCGCCCCGCCCCGCCUUAUCUCCAUGCAGCUUUGUCUGAUGCAUUUCCCCGGAGACUUGGCGGUCCCUGAGUGCCAUAGUGUGCCACUCACGUCUAGGGGCCGACAUCUUGGUUAUGGUGCCAAAUUAAGAUAGUAAUAAUAAUAAUAAUAAUAAUAAUAAUAAUAUAAUAGUUCAUACUUCUACACUACGCUAGCUAAAACUAUCAGACAUGAGAUCACUAGCAACUGUAUCUCUGUGGUAAGGUCAGGUCGUGAGGUCGCUGGGUGGGGGUGGUUGUCAAGGUCGUUUUAUGCCGCCGUUUUAUGCCUCUCUCGUUCUCUGACCUUAUUUUGCUGACCUUACGUUUCUGACCUUAUUUUUCUAACCCCAUUUUUCUGACCUUAUUUUGCUGACCUUAUUUUUCUAACCCCAUUUUUCUGACCUUAUUUUUCUGACCUUACGUUUCUGACCUUAUUUUGCUGACCUUAUUUUUCUAACCCCAUUUUUCUGACCUUAUUUUCUGACCAUUUUCCUUCCUUUUCUCUUUUUCUGACCUUUUUUUUCUCUUUUUCUCUCUGUCUUUCCCUCCUUCCUUCCCUUCCAAUUAUUUUCUCUCUCUCUCUCUCUCUCUCUCUCUCUCUCUCUCUCUCUCUCUCUCUCUCUCUCUCUCUCUCUCUUCCUUUCCCUUCUUCCUUCCUUCCUUCCUUUUCUUCCUUUUUUUAUUUCUUUUCUCUUUCUUUCCCUUCAUUUCCAUCCCAAUUUUUCUUCAUUUUCAUCCAAUUUCUCUUCCUUUCCCUUCAUUUUCACUCCUAAUCUCUCCUUCUCUUCCUUCCCUUCCUUUCCAUCUCCAAUUUCUCUUCCUUUCCCUUCCUUUCCAUCUCCAAUUUCUCUUCCUUUCCCUUCAUUUUGACUCCCAAUUUCUCUCCUCGUCCUUCCUCUUCCUGUACCCAGCGAGAGGAAGACUUGGUUCUAUACGGCGGAUGAGAGACGAGACGGAGGCAGAAAGCGCCGCCCGACAACCCCCCUCACAGCGGCCUCACCACUCUGCCCUCGCCACGGGUCUAGCUUGAGUGUGUGCGUGCGUGCGUGCGUAGGUAGCGGGUCUGGUCAUUAUUUGUCUUAUCUUAGCAAAGUACACAAAUCGUUCUCCUAGGCUGUGUUCCUCUCUCACCGAUUCCAAGUGUGUCGUGGUUGUCGGUGUUGCAGGCGGGGCCCCACACACUCCGCGGGGCCGCCAGCUGGACCUGACCCCAGCACGAUGAUGAUGAUGAUGACUAAUGAUGUGAGGGCAUAAUAGGUGUAAUCCAAACAUCAAGACAUAUCCCACACCCCGCCACGGGCCGCGGGGGUGAACCAAAGCAUUUGUGUAUUAGCGCUGCCCCCCGCCCCCCGACCCGUCCUGCCGGGGCGGGGCGGGGGCCUCGGGGCGCCCCAGCGUCGGCAAGUCUUUCCAUGUUAACCUCUAUGGUAUUAUCACACCAGCACCGGUAACAGUCAGAGUUUUGUAUUAGAGGAAGCGACGACUACGUACGUUUUAUACCUAUAUUUUUAGAUGUGCGAGAGAGAGAGAGAGAGAGAGAGAGAGAGAGAGAGAGGGGACGAUGGGCGGGGCGGGCGGGGGUCAGGGCGGGGCUCCGUCGUCGCGCCCCCGCCCGCCCCGCCGCGUUGCAAUGUCCGCCAGUAUUUGAAGCCUCAAGUAAUAUGAGAGAUUGAAUCACUGGUGUUUUGUCGUAUUGGCCAAUUGCUCAUAAUGUAGUGUGAUGAUGUGUUCACUUCUGGUCUAAGCUCUUUUACAACAGGGAGUAUCUUAGUAGCCUAGCAGCGGUCCCCUAAUAUUAUAACCUAGUGAGUCUAGCUAUACUAAAGCGUAAGCGUAAUAACGUAAGGAAACCGUAAAUUCUAAGGCAGUAUAUCGUAAGGUCGUAAGUAAGGUUGCUGAACACUACUCUUAGGUGCCGUGUCUGUCUGUCUGUCUGUGUGUCUGGCGGGCUGUAGGUGCGGCUGUCGCUGGGCCAAAAAAAAUCUUCUUAAAAAGUCGUGUAUUGAAGAGCUUAAUCUUGAGGCGUCUCUCUAGAGGAAAGAGUGGUGGCAUCGCGAACGUGACCUUAGACAUAUAAGGCUUACUACUACUACUACUACUACUACUACUACUACUACUACUACAGAUAUUAUAGUGAAAAAUGCCUACAAAAAAAAAGUUAUCCGCUAUCGUCAAUGGGGAGGUUAUCUCUGUGUGUUGCUGCUCAGGGUUACGCAGCCUGUCCCUGCAUGUGGCGGCCGGCUGAGGUUGUGAGCGCCCCCUUAACACCCCUUAAGCCCCCCUUAACACCCCUUUUGGACCCUCCUUGACCCCCACUUUGGACCCCCCUUAGACACCCCUUUGGACCCCCCUUAAUGCCCCUUAACACCCCUUUUUUUUUACCUCCAUUUCUGAUCCAUUUCUCUUCCUCAAUUUUGUUUUUUCAUUUCCUUUCUUCCUCCUCCUCCUCCUGACCUCCAUUUCUAAUCCAUUUCUCUUCCUCUUCUUCCUUGCUCUUGUCCUCCUCCUCCUCCUCUUCCUCCCUUCCUUCACCUCCUCCUCCUCCUCCUCCUCCUCCUCCUCCUCCUCCUCCUCCUCCUCCUCCUCCUCCUCACAAUCAUCUUCUCUUCCUCCCUUCCUUCACCUCCCCCCAGCCAGUCCCUUCCCUUCCCUACCUUCUCCUCCUCCUCCUCCUCCUCCUCCUCCUCCUCCUCCUCUCCCCAGGGGCGGAGGGUCGUGGUCACCUCCCUGUCCAGUGAGCUUCUCUAGUCCUGAGGCCCCACCCCGCCCCGGCCUGCCCCGGCAGCGCCCGGCGGGAGGCCUCUCCCCUCCAGGAGGCCCACGCCCCCUCCGCCCCGCCCCGCCCCGCCCCGCAGCAGCUGGAGCCAUGUCGGUGCUCCCCGCGUGCCUCUCUCGUGUGUUCAGGUGCCCCGGCCCCGCCCCGUAUGCAAGCCUCAGUUUCCACCAGCCGGCCGGGGCACACCACCACCACCACCACACCACCACCACACCACCACCUCCACCUCUUGUGACAUGACACGCUGCAGCUGCUGCCCCUGACCUUACCUGACCUUACUCUAUCCUCCCCUCCUGUCCUAUCCCUCCCCAUGGGGCCGCCCCGCCGAGCCGCCGCCGCCUAGCAAGCCCCCGGGAGCAAUAAGGUGAGCUGUGGCCCUCCAGCGCUGCAUUUCCCAGCCGCCGCAGCCGCCGCCGCCGCCGCUGAGGUGACGGGGCACGGGGCGACGAUUCUCAAACGGUGCGGACGCGAAGAUUGUCACGGGGGGUUUUGAGACCGUGUUGAACGUACAAGGACUUUUAAGGGUUUUGGAAGGCUGUGUCAAAAGAGGAGGUUCCCAAGAGUGGUUUUGUUGUUAAUGUAAGCCAUGUUGAAGGUACGAGGAAUUUUAAAGGUUUUUGAAGGCUAUGUUAAAAAGAUCAGGUUCCCAGGAGUGAUUUUGUUGUUUAUGAAGGCCAGGUUGAAAGUACGAGGAAUUUUAAAGGUUUUUGAAGGCUAUGUUAAAAAGAUCAGGUUCCCAGGAGUGAUUUUGUUGUUUAUGAAGGCCAGGUUGAAAGUACGAGGAUCUUUAAUGGGUUUUGGAAGGCUGUGUUAAAAAGAGGAGGUUCCCAGGAGUGAUUUUGUUACAUUUGGAAGGCGUGUUGAAGGUGUGUCGGGUUCCCAAGAGUGGUUUUGUUGAAGGCUGUGUUAUAUUGGCAUCAAACCCUCUUCAAAACCUCUUAAAGUGGCAUUAAAACCUCUUCAAAACCUCAGAAAUUGGCCUCAAAACCUCUUAAAGUGCCAUCAACACCUCUUCUAAACCUCUUAAAAUGGCCUCAAAACCUCUUAUAGUGGCCUCAAAACCUCUUAAAAUGUCCUCAUAACCUCUUAGUGGCAUCAAAACCUCUUAAAUUGACCUCAGUACCUUUUAGUGGCAUCAAAACCUCUUCAAAACCUCUUAAAUAGGCCUCAAAACCUCUUCAAAGCCUCAAACUGGCCUCAAAACCUCUUAAAUCUGCCUCAAAACCUCUUAAAUCUGCCUCAAAACCUCUUCAAAACCUCUUAAAUUUGCCUCAAAACCUUAUCAAUGACCUCAAAACCUCUUAAAUCUGCCUCAAAACCUUAUCAAUGACCUCAAAACCUCUUAAAGUGUCCUCUUAAAACGGCCGCUUAAAAUGACCUCAGAAAAUGGCCUCAAAACCCUUAAAAUGGCCUCAAAACCUCCUCGAAGUCAUCCUAACCGUUUGAGAAUACGCGUCCCUCUCAGGCCCCCAAGAAUAGAUGUCAGGUCUCGGCCAUUGGCGCCAGAUUGUUGUGCUCAGAUCAUUGUUGUUUUAACCGGUUACCGACGCUUAACAACUACCAAAACACCUCGGAAUUAAUGACUGUAAUGAUAAUUUGGAGUGAAUCAUGUUUUAGGCCUACAGGAGAUUGUUUAUAGGGUGGAAAGCUGGGAAAUAUAUGUGAUUGGGCAGAACGUAAGAACUAGCCGCCUCUUGCAGACUCCUAUGUUCUUAUGUGUUCUUUUGAGAGACGGUUCUUAGGGUGGAACGCUAGAAACAUAUGUGAUUUAGCAGAACGUAAGAACUACCAGCCUCUUCCAGACUCCUAUGUUCUUAUGUGUUCUUUUGAGAGACUGUUCUUAGGGUGGAACGCUAGAAACAUAUGUGAUUUAGCAGAACGUAAGAACUACCAGCCUCUUCCAGACUCUUAUGUUCUUAUGCGUUCUUAUGAGAGACUGUUCUUAGGGUGAAACGCUUGAAACAUAUGAGUUAGCUGAAGAACAUGUUAACUCCCGGCCUCUUGCAAACUCCUAUGUUCUUAUGUGUUCUUAUGAGAGACGGUUCUUAGGGUGAAACGCUGGAAACAUAUGAGUUAGCUGAAGAACAUAUUAACUCCCGGCCUCUUGCAGAUUCCUAUGUUCAUAUCAGUAGACGGUUUUAAGGGUGGAACUCUGGAAACAUUUGAGUGAGCAGAACAUAAGAGCUAGCAGCCUCUUGCAGACUCCUACGUUCUUAUGUUCUUACGACAAUCUGGCGCAAUGGUCCCGGCGGCGGCUGGCGGGCACGGCGGUCUGUCCUGUGCAUGGCGGUAGAAUUGGUGGAGUCGGCGUCAGCCCUGAAAAAAGUGAAUCCCCUGAACUGUCACUUUUGGGGCCGCGAGGUUGUGUCCAGGUGUUGUCAGGUCAGGUAUUUAUGACAUGGAUCUACCGCAUCAAUAAAUGUAUACAGUUUAAUGAUAGCAACCAGGUAGCGGACGUGAGCUUUCAUCUUGCGGCCGUACCAGUGACAGUGAUGAGAUUAGCGGGCCGUGCCGACUCCACGAAUUCCACCUCCAUGAUCCUAUGUCCCCCGUACGCUGCACAUUCCCACGAGCUAGUCAGGGCAGGCUACCCCACACAUGCCCCGCCCUCGGCCCCUCUGUCAACAAGCAAACCCUCGCUGGUCAGUGGUCUGGACAGGUCGGCGACGCUUUUAAUAUAAUUAUUUAUACAGGCUUUCUUGUACUGAAUGUUACAAUAUGCAUCAAUAAAUUUGGUCUCAGUGUUUA